UUCAGCGCGGCCGCAAUUCCGAAAGACUGAAGGCAGAAAACUCUGGAAAGGAGACUAGCGACUGGAGCAGAAUCCAGGGGCUUUAAAAUUUAACCUGGGUUCGAUCGAAUGCAUCUACCCGAACAGAUAACCCGGCGUCCGCCGUCCACUUAGCUCCGACCAGGGCUUCCAAUGCCUUUCUUUUUUUUUUUUUUUUUUAACCUGAGUUCCGACCUAAUUUUUAUGCAGACUGAGUUUUGCAAAAGCUUAUCUGUGAGCCGUUACAGAACUGUUGUGGGCAUUUGAUUUUCUUUGAGUCCAAGGGUUCUUAAAUGUUUCUGAGGUCUGUUCUCAAAAGCAAAGUUUUCUUUUUUAAAAUACAUACUCAGUGAAGUGAUUUCUAAUGAAACCAAGUUAACAAAUAAAUCCUCUGGCUAAGUUGGGAAUACAGGCUGUGAGUCAUGACCUCCAAGUUUGAACCCAAAAAAGACCGAGCCCCCUCCCCCCACCCGCAAGAAACUGAUUCCUGCUGUGUGUAUUUCUUUAUAUUUGCAAUUACGGGGGUGACCGUGUAAAUUUCUUUGGACAACAGAUGAUCCCCAGAGACCUGCUUUUCCUGCCACUCCGCCGCAGCCGGGAGAGGGUGCCCUGGCCCCCGCACCGCCGGGUUAGAGGUGAGAGGCGGGACGCACACCAACUUCACUAUGUGCGAUUUCUAAGGCUAGAGAAAGGACCUGACAUUUUACUCCCCCCGCCCCCACCUCCCCCCCCCCCCCGCCCCCCGCCCCAGAACUCCGAUUGCUUUUGAGUAUUACUCAGAACAAAGGUGGGGGCAGGGAGGUAAUUGUUUGCUCUCUUGCAAGGUCACAAAUUUUUUUUUCAAGACUAGUUUUAUUUUUCUUGCCAAUUAACUAAGAAAUAAAACUGUUUGACCCAUGGAAUUGAUUCAGACAGAAAGCCAGAUUGCCUGACCCUUCCAGUUUGCAGUUUUCCCAACACAUCGACUUUGGCCCUGGGGACAACACCCCUGGGGAGCGGCACAUUUUCAAAGCCACCCUCCCAGGGGCCCCAGGCCUGGUGCUCUGAGCUUCCUCUGAGAGCCCCAGCUGGUCCGGGAAAGUGGGGGAUAUUAGGGGGCGCAGAGGAAGAAGGGCACCGCAAGAGCUGGCGAAGGCCUCCACAGUGCUCCAGAUUUAUGGGACCUUCUCGCUUGUACCAUAUUUCUUCCCGCCCCGGGGACGCUCUGGGCGAAGGACACGGGGUCAGCUCGGCACCCCCCUCCACCCCGCCAGCGCCUGGGCCCACUCGCCGGGUCGGGAUGGCGCGUCCCCCCGACUUGACUCCACCGCUGUCACUCCGACGCAGGUCAUCGCCCAGAGAGUCCUGACAGUGAUGGUGAUGGGCUUGUUAUCUAGGCCACCCAAUGACCGACGAAAGAUUUUCUCCCUCGCUGCUUCUCCCCAGGCCGCUUUAAACCAAAUAAAUUUAGCUAUUAAGGGCCA
rnacentral:lncRNA from 1 species